UUUAGAUUAGGUUGGAAGUCACCUGGGCUGAGCUGAUGGCUGAUUCCGUCAGCAAAAAGAACUGUGGAACAUACUGGCACUUGGGCCGGUGUGAAGCCACCCCCCUGCCAUGAAAAAUGGCUCUUCCCUGCCACAGCCGGCCCAGCGGGAGCCAGGUCAGGGCCUGGAGACACAGCGCCCCCCACCGGAGCCACUGCCCGGCCCAGCAGCACCUGCGGAGAAUCCCACCAGCUCCCACGCCUCCCGCCGCGCCACCGCCCCGGCUUUCUGCAAAUCCACCUUAUGGAAGCCGGAUAAGGACCUCCUCCUCUGAUGCGUCACAGUCACAGGUCCUGGUGAGGAGGGAGCCACGCCAAGCACAGCGGCUGGAACAGGGGCAAGUGGGUGCCCACCCCGAAGUGCAGGCAAUGAACUUGUGCUGUAGCCCAUGGUGAGCUGUGGGGCUGUUUGUGACUGCAGCGUAGCCAAGCCCAUCCCGCCUGAUGCGGCCUCUUCAUCCAGAGUGGGGGUGACGUGCCAGCCCCCACCUCACCGGAAUGCUGGGAGGAGCGUCUCCACGGAAGGAGCUCACUUUGUCAGCUGUAAUGUGCUGUGACUAUCGUGAUUGCCCUCUGCCCCGCAGCCUGCCCGUUCCCAGGCCAGCGAGGGCGCUCCCAGGCCGGUCUGCAGCCAGAACACAGCCCGUUCCAUGUGCUUGUCCUCGGGACACAUUAGGAAUGAACCCAGGCCUCAGUCCUGGCCUCCUCCUCAAGGCUGGGUGCUCAGACGUCCCCCUCAGCCCCUUUCUCUAGACCUUCCGGCUGAACAAACGAGAACAUCUCACAGCCCUGCAACAGCCAGGAGCUGCUCGUGGAGCUCCACGCCCGGCUGGAGAGAGAGGAGGCACCCUGGGCAGCCCGCCAGCACCCAGGCUCUCACAGUGGAAGCCCACGUCUUCUUGGGCUCUAUUUUGAAAGCUGUUCUUUCCACGACGGCUUUGACAAGAAUCGAUUUGAGUGAGCCGGCGUGUCAAUACAGGCCAGCACAGGACUGGCCUCAGGGCCACAUUGGGGAGGGUGGCGACCAGGCCCUGGCUGCAGCCCACGUGGGCAAAAGCAUGGCCAGGCAGGAGGUGGGGCCUGUGAGCUUGGCUACAGCGACCGUGGGCGCUGGGCCCGGGGCUCCUCAGCCCUGAGGGGAGACCCAGGCCCAGGCAGGCUCCCAGGCGGGCUCCCGGGCUCCCAGCCUUCCGAUCUUCUCCCUUUGAGACCUUGCCUUCUGCACAGUGACAGGAAAGAGCCCUGAGUCCCACUUUGCAGGGAUGUAUUGCAUUUCCAGAAAGUUCCUUCCGGGUGCAGAGUGAUACAUGAACCCUGGGGACUCACUCCAACUUGGUAUUGAUUUUCUCCACGGAGGACCCAGCAGUCACGGCCCGUGUCUGCACAGCCCCUUGGAUCCUGCGGAGGAAUUCAGCCGGCCCCUCCCCCUGUGCCGAAAACCACGGAGGCAAAGCCAGGCCAGGGUACAGUGAGAACACGGGAGAGGACUGAGAGACCGCUGGCUGCCGAGGGAGGAAGAGCAGGAUUCGCACCCCCGUCAUCGCUGGGCCCACACGCCGCCGACAGCUUCCGCGUGUGGCCAUCUGUCUUUCAGAAACCCUCUGGCAGAGGGACCCAGCAGAUGACACGGGGGCCGUUCACACUCUGAAACCUGCCUGGAGUCAAAACACUGCUGGCGAGCCUCCACCGCAAACCCAAUCCAGAUGGUCUUCCCUGGUGGCCCUCGGGGUGGCGGGCACCCUGCCCACUCCCUGCCAGCCCCUGCCCGCUGGACUCCAGGCCCGGCCGAGCCCCCGACCGGUCUCCUGACCCAGCAUGCUGCUCUCCCCUGGGCCCGGCUUUCUCGCCCGCUGGGACUCCCAGGCCCCUCCAGCCCAGCCCCGAGAGCAGGAGCCCCAAGGGAGGCUUGGCGGCUGUGGAGGCGAGUGGGCCACGUGUAGCUGGGAGGCCGGCAGGACCAGGAGCCCCUCACAGCGCAGCACCCACAGCAUCACGAGCCACUUCCACUCCUGGGUGGCCUGGGGGCCCCCACCCUGCUCUGAGCUGCCCCUUGUUGUGACCUGGGGUCCCCCGUGGUGGGCCCGCCCCUUGAGCCUGGGAUCCAGCCUCAGCGAGGCUCCAGAAGUGUCGUCUCCGCCGGCCAGGCGUCAGCGCCUCCACCCAGGAUCACACACUCCUAUCUCUGCACUUCUGCCCUCCAUCCUGCUCCACGCCGCCUCUGCUUGUUAUUCCAGCACAUUCCAGGGUGAUGCCUGCUGAAGCCACGCAGCCAGUGCCUCCACCCUACCCCCCAUCUGACCCACCGGCCCCUUCCGCACGCUGGAAGCCUGCCCGGCCUGAAGUGUCCUCACCUGUCGCCCUAUCCUCCCCUCCACUCCAGCCCACCGGUGACUCAGCCCUCACAGCUCUCUCCUCCCCGAGGGAGCCGGUGACUUGGCUCUGAUGGUGCCGGGACCCAGCCCCGGCAUGUUCAGAAUCCUUGUCCUUUAACCUGCGUCCACAUGUAGUCGCCUCCACCUCCCUGCCUGAACCUCCAGGCCCUGCAGAGCAAACACUGCUGCCUGCAGGAGACCCCUGGGGCCUUCUCCGUCCCCUCAUCCUCCUAAGGAGCCUCCCCUGCCACCGUGCCAGAAUGUGCCGGAGGAACAGAGGCCCGAGCCUCCCGUGGCCCCAGCGAGGCUUCCUCUGGGGAAGACAGUGAGCCCAACGCCCUGGCUCUCGAGGGGUGGACGGAGUCCAGCUGGCAUCGACCGGGUGCCCCUCUUCACCGGUGUCCACAGUCCUUGAGAGCAAAGGUGGUCCCAGCAGUGGAGCAGAGGGCAAGGGUGGGGCAUGUAGAGUCUCCAGGGAGCCACUGUUGGUUAGAGAGGGAGCCCGAAGUGGGCUCCGGACCCCAGCAGGGACAGCGUCCCCUUCCAGCGGGGGCAGCCGAUUGAUCUGGGCACACGAGCAGGAGGAGCGGCGCCACCCAGGGCUGACCUCACGGCCCUGCUCACGUCUCGGGGCAUUUUGGCAGACCCACCUAGACCUGGGGGACAGCCUGAUUUCCUGCAGCCAUGACCUACAAGGGUGGCAGCUCUCUCAGGCUUGAGUAACCAGGACACAGACCUGGGCCAUUUAAUGCGCAGGCAGCCCCAAGUCCCGGCAGGGCCAGAAGCAGAGACGGCGGCUGGGGAUGAAAGUGCACGCUGGUCCCAGAUGGGGCUGGGGGUGAAAGCUGCAUGCUGAUCCCUGGGCCCCCUCACUCUAUGAGCUCCUGAAAGGAGGGAAGCCCCCACACCCUACUGAGUGGAGUGCUCCUUGGCCUGGGACCCCGUCCAGUGUCUGCUGCUGUGGGGGCGGGCUCUGGGCAGAGAGAGGCCAGACAGGCACCCAGGAAAGCUGGAACACAUCCCUCCUGCUUCCCCCAGGGUUCCCAGAGGCGACCUCCCUCCUGCACAGGCAUUUGUCAUCCUUACCCUCUAGGACAGCUUUGCCAUGUGCAGUGAACCCCUGGACAGUGUUGCGUGCCACUUUGCCGGAUUUGGACUGUAUACAGACCGAAGCAUGUGGCAUGAAGCCUUCUGCUGUCAGCAAGUUCCUUGUCCCUCGACAGUAUGUGCCCAGGCUGCCCUUCAAGGUGGCAGUGAUGGCAGUUGUCUCUUGCACGCUGCGUACAGUUCUGUCACUGACUCUUACACACAGCCCUGGAGACGGGAGAGUGCCGGGAGCAUUCUAUGCAAGUGUCCUGGCCUUUGCGGGCGUCUCCACAGCACAAACACGAGUCAGGGACCACCCCUCUUCUGCUUCCAUGAUUCCACCAACUGGGUGGGGCAGAGCAGUGCCAGGGCCGGAGGCACGCCCCAGGUGAGGGCAGGUGGCCAUGCCAGUGAGUGCACUGCGUUCUCAGUUAAUUCAUCCGAAAUAUUUCUAAGUUUCUUGAUUAUUGCAGUUGCAUCCCCAAGAUAAUGCCGCCCUCACCAAGUAGAAGGCACAUGUGCUCUGAUGGCCCCUCCCACACUGGGGUCAGGGCACAGCAACUUAGCGAGGCGACGUGGGGGCUCAGAGGACCUCGGACCAGGCUCGGCACAUGGGGCUUCUCCAGCCAGCCAGGGGGAAGCACCCUGCAGACUGCUAACUUUUGCAAAAUAGAGUAAAAAAGAUCAGCUAGAAAAAUAAAACAAAAAAGGAAAGAUAUACAAAAU
rnacentral:lncRNA from 1 species